ensembl:lncRNA
AAAAUGACGUGGUCGGAUCGCCAUCCCCACUGACUUGGGGACGUUAUAUGAAGUCAAAUCGCUGUGUGGUGAUUCAUGUUUUCUUCUGAAAGGUUCACUCGAGGCAGGGAAUGUGUGGGGUUGAAGUCUUUCGGGGCAAGGGCCAGGCAUCUUUCCCCUUUGUGAAAUAUCCCACCCGCUGGUGGUUAUAUACGUAUCAAGGUGGCCAAGGACGAACUUCAGCUUCUGACCUCGUUUUCCUCGGACAUCUCACCCUGUGCAGAAAUGAGGAAUGCCCGCUGUUUGCCCCAGCAGGCAGUGUUUGGUAUGUGCAGCUGUACGCAGGCGGGUAGGGAGAGGUAUGUGUGAUGUACAAAUAGGCCGCUGCUCGCAAUACAGCCUUGAUUGUACGGUUGUACUGUAGAUGGAGGUGACACCAAAUAUCAUUGUGCAACAGGAGGUUUUUCCAGAGUUGCACAAUUGCUGGAUCCCAUGCAGAAGAUCAAGGAACUCUGACUAAUUGAUUUCAGGUAACAAAGUGUGCCCAGGCCACUAGAAACUUCAUACGUUACCUGCGCGUGCACCACAGAAACCGUCCUGACAGAGAUUAAAGGUUUUUACUGUGUUUUACAUCAAGAUUAAUGUGCCUGUCAUAGGCCAGGGAACACUUUCUAAUGAAUACCUGGUGUCUGCGGGGGUAGGACACCAAGUUCUACUUUCCCCACCAUAUGUCAGGGGCUCCCCAGGGCCCACCGGUGCAUCCAGGGCAGCACGUCCCGCUGUGACCACCUGGUUGCUUCUGGGGGAGAGGAGGUGCUGCCAGACACUUGCAAGGCAGCUCUGGUGGAAAGUAGAUCAGGGAGAGCAAGCCUGGCUCUGGGGUUAGGUGGGAAAAAUGAUCCGUGAAGGCAGGAAGUGUAUUGUUCCGAUGUGACUUUUCCUUCCCCCUGGAGCUGCAACUACUAUCAAUGAAUCUUAAUUUAUGCUCCGUGCCAGGACUGCGUGCAUUACUGCAACAAAAGCUGAGCCACGAGCUGUCCUCAAUCCUGAGAGAGGGCUCACGCGGAGCCGUGAGAUUUCACAUCUUGUCUGCAGCCCUGGCAUUGCACAUCGGACCUCCAUUAUUGAAUUGAGCAGACAGCAUGGUUCUAGGAUAGCCUGAGCUUUUGUCUUCCUUUGUCCUGGCAAGAACGAAUCGUUCUCAAGAUAUACAAGGAAAACAGCAAGGGAUUUUCCAAAACCACAAAAUGAUUGUUCUAGGUAUAUUGCUGCAGCAAACAGAACCCGCUCUCUUUAUAGCUUAUGUUUGUUGGUAAGCACAGGGCUUGCUGCAAUGACAAGCAUUUGAAAGGCAAAAUCCUGUGAUUUAAGAUCUUACCCAGGGUGUUCACAGGACACAGUACUGACACUUGUUCUGCUUUUCAUGACAAUAAAUCACCAGCUGUGAUUGUCUUGCAUAGGCACACAUGCAUGAUACGUAUAAUUACUCUUCUCUCCCCAUACCUUUACUUUUCUCAAAAGCCUUGCAAAAACUCUUAUCAGAACCCGAGAUCUGAAUUUUUUUUAGAAGCAGCACCAAGUGCCAGAGGAAGAUGUGACCAGGAUUUACACUGCACCCAUCCAAAUCUGCCAUCUGCUGCACGCAGGCCAAAUUCCCAUUUUGAAUUUUCCAUUUUCCAUUCCACUUGAGGUGCAGCCAGUGAUACAUUCCUUGUUUCCUUGUCCGCUCUUUCUUCUAGCUGAUUCACAGCUUUUGUUAUCCCCACACACCCUCUCAGUGUAAGGAUUUUGGACAAACUGCAGCAAUAACUCUCUUUGCCGAUAUAUGAAGGAGUGGGAGAAAUCGCUCCUGCUACAGAAUAAGCUACUUGAUGGCAUCAGAAUUCUCUUUCACGAAGUGAUGCAGGAAAGAAUGGUGACCAUGGAAUGCUUAUAAAGUUGGCAAAGGCGGGAAGUCAAACUGAGUCAAGUGAUCCCCAUUCCUUAAAAUGGCCCACCACCCCAACAGACCUCAGUCCAGACCAACAGUGGACCUCAGAAUGGAAUAACUGCUGUGCUGCAUUUCCCAGCUGUGACUCAGGCGCUGUGGGAUGUGUCGCGUUGCUUCCCGACACGCAGAGAUGCUCACCUUUCCCGUGAGGAUGCUGCACGUAGACUUUUCCUGCUUUGCGGAAGCGUAGUUGUAUCUGAACGCUGACUUAUUUCUUUGUGACUAAUGAGCCUGCAUGAAAGCAUUGGAUAGUCUCGAAUGGGCAGGUGUAUUAUACUCCGUGUUAAGAAAUUUGUUUUGUUCAGCUGUAUGUCAAACGUGAUUUGUAGCUGGGCUGUGGAAUCAAUCCAAAAAUAUAAAUUUGCUUACCAAAGGUUGCUGUCAAGCUCUACCGUGCUGAAGCUCCAGCUUACAGAAGGCAGCGUCUUCCAACAAAAGGGUUUCAGCCAAAUAAAUGGAGCUUAGAGAAAAUGCAAUGUUACAGCUGAAGUACCGGGAUAAUUGAGCCUGUAACAUCUGCUGAAAUGUAGUGACACCAAAAAUAAACACUUCUGCCCAUGUUGCUAUUCCCUGGUACAGCAGUGUAUAAACAUGUGAUGCGACCCCAGCACAUCAGGGAAUGUGGGAACAGACUGGUGUUGCCAUCAUAAGUACCCUUCCCCUGUCAAGGAAGGAGCUUUCUGAGCACAGCUGUAAUAAGGACAUUGCUUGGGUUGCUUUCCAGCAGCUUUUAUGAGAAGGGAAAAGGGAUCAUGUGCUUAAUUAGCCCCUUUAGUAAGAGGUGUUCUUGUGUAUGUUUUGCAGCUGGAACAAAGGGCCAGGGUGAGGGUGUUUGCUUGAUUUUUCCCUUAAAGAGAGAAAAUGUAUGAAAUCGUUCCUGGAUGGAAAAUAGGGGAAAAAAAAAUAGCAAAAAUCUUUUGUCUGUUAUAAGGACUAAUUUUCCUAGGAAAAUGCUCAAGAAUGAGAUUUUCCUUUUGUUGCAAAUUACUGUUGAGUUUGAUUAAACAGAACCAUUGAUUUGCUUAUUCUUCUCUGCGUGAUUUCCCCUGGCUUGGAGCUGUGGGAAGCCAGGCUCAGCCUCUGUCCAGCAAAUGCCCUCGUAAACACAAGCUUCUGGUUUCGCUUUCACAGUAUAAACACAAGGGAACAUUCAAUUACAUUGAAAAGGGAUGCAUUUAAAACUGAUAAAAAGGAAAUAAAUUUUUGCGCGGCGUGCAAUUACUCAGUGGAAUCCAUUCCUCUUGAGUGUCAUCACAACCAAAAGCUUAGCAGGAUUUGAAAGAGGGCUGGAGGGCUGGUAAUACAUACAUAAAAAUAAACAAGGACUCUGGAAGGGAUUUACACUCUUGGGCUUCUGGGGAGAAGCCAGCAUCCCAUUGUGGCAGUUUUGGGAAAGGUUUCCAGAGCUGCUUGUCCCACACUGCCUGCCACCGUACUGCUUGCAUGUCCCCUUGGCGUGCUGCAGUAACAGCCUCCUUCAGCAGGAC